rnacentral:rRNA from 1 species
GCUGGCAGCUAGCUCUCUGCAACUCUCACAUGGUAGCCCACUGAAGCUAAGCAGGGCUGCGCCCCUGGUCAGUACCUGGAUGGUAGACCACAUGGGAAAGAUAGGUUGCUGCUAAAA